GCAUCAAUGGGGUAGUGGUAACCUGGGUCGUUGCCAUCGGCUUGUUUGUUGUAGAGUAACUUGUCGACCCGCCGGGGGUUCGAUUCCGUCUUGAUGCA